rnacentral:lncRNA from 9 species
GUUCUUUUUGCAUUCAAAAUGAGGGACUGAACAGAUGGUGAACGCUCAGUUUAAAGCAAUAUGUCCAUUAAAAUAACCCGUACUGUUGGUGUUUAGUGUAACAAUAGCAGUGAGUUCAUUAUAGCAGGAUUCUGCAGCAACUGCUCGCUCAGGAAGAAGAGCUUGGAGAUGCUAAGCCUCCGGGUGACGCCCAUCCCCAGCCAGGCAGUGGCCCCACCGCCCGGCCCCCAGCCCUGGGCUUUCAGAGGGAACUUCAGUUGUUUUGCUUAGCAUUUUGCUUCCAAAUAGGAAAGUCAAUAAACAGCUGACAUUUACCAAUGCCUUGCUUCCGGGUUAUUUUUUCUCCACUCUCCAGAUGUUCUGAAAUGUGUGGUUCCAGAUGCGUCACCUCCAACAGGAUGAUCCCACUCCCCUGGACUGCAUUGCACAAACUUGCGCCAGCAGCACACCAGGGGGACGCCGAAGUUGGAAAGUCUGCAGCGGAGGAGAGUGGGGCGUUGCCUGAGACUGGCUCCUACAGAUUGUGGAGGUGAUACUGUUGGUGGCAGGGAAGAAUGAAGAGGGCUUUCUUUUAGUGGAAGAAAGUUUUGCAGCCUGAGGUUCCUUACUCUGUCUAGCUGUGGUCGAGGUUAUGCAGCCAAAGCUGCAGGUGGAAAGAAGCAACUGCAUACAAGACUCUACCGAGAGAAGAUGGAAAGCAGCCAACGGCAUUGACAGGAUUUAUGUGCCAGAAGGCAAGAGUGGGGACAUGCAAGGUUUUCUGAGGUCUUCAAGGAGUAGUUUCUGGUGGAAGGUGCUUUGCACAGGGAUGAAUGUUGUCAGCAGAUAGAGUGGAGAGAGUUACUCCUGAUUGAUGGCCAGGAGACCAAGAGGAAGUGGGUACCUGAGCAGCAGGAUUACUGGAGCCACGGAGAUGAGCUACAUCCAGAUUCUUUUUUUUUUUUUUUUUUUUUUGCCUUUUCUAGGGCCACACCUGCAGCAUAUGGAGAUUCCCAGGCUAGGGGUCAAAUCGGAGCUGUAGCUGCCAACCUACGCCAGAGCCACAGCCACGUGGGAUCCGAGCCGCGUCUGUGACCUACACCACAGCUCACAGCAAUUCUGGAUCCUUAACCCAGUGAGCAAGGCCAGGGAUCGAACCAUCCACCUCAUGGUUCCUAGUUGGAUUCGUUAACUACUGAGCCACGACAGGAACUCCUACAUCCAGAUUCUGACUACGCAAACCAGCAUGGUCUCCAGGAGAGCAGCAGCCUGACCCUCACAGCCACGUGUGCAAUGCAGGUCUCCCACCAAGAGUACUGAGAAUUUAUAACAUUUAAUCUUUGGCAAUUUAAUGAAUUUAAAUGACAUGUUUUUGGUGUUUUGUUUGUGUGUUGUUUGUUUUGGUCAUGCCCUUGGCAUGCAGAAGUUCCCAAGCCAGAGAUCGAUCCUAAGCCACGGCAGUGACAACACCAGAUCCUGAACCUGCCAAGCCACCAAGGAACUCUAUGGCAUAUUUUAUUUUCGUUUUGUACCUUAAAAAGUGAUUUUUUUUUACAUAUUGAUAAAUAUCCAUGUUCUUCCUCAGUAAAGUAUCCGUCUAUAUCUCCUAAAAAAAAAAAAAAAAAGGAAUAAUAGUGGAUCGUAAUCUAUAUAGUAAGGAUGUUAACUUUUUAGUUUCAUGUUUGUUGCAGAUCUUUCUUCAUUUGGCACUUGCAUCUAGUUCAGACUAUGAUUUUUGAUGUAAAAAAUAUUUAAACUUUAGGAGUUCCCAUCGUGGCUCAGUGGUUAACAAACAUGACUAGUAUCCAUGGGGAUGUGGGUUUGAUCCCUGGCCAUGCUCAGUGGGUUAAGUAUCUGGCAUGGCCGUGAGCUGUGGUGUGGGUCAGAUCCUGUGUGGCUAGGGCUGUGGAGUAGGCCAGCGGCUUCAGCUCUGAUUCAACCCCUAGCCUGGGAACCUCUAUGUGCUGCGGGUGCAGCCCUAAAAAGACAAAAAAAAAUUUUUUUUAACUUUAUAUGAAAAUGAUCCAUCAUUUUCUUUGACUUAUAGCCUUAAAUUGCAUGACAGCAAGUCCUUUUCUAUCCUAGAGCCGGUUAAAGAGGUAAUAUAUAUGUAGUUUUAUAUUGUUAUGGUUUCCUUUUUUACUUUGUUAAUUUAUCAAAAAUUUUUUAGAACGUGGUGUGUGAGGAAGAGGGAAUGUGACUUUAUUUGUUGCCCCUGAAUUGCUAAUAUUUCUAAACCUAUUUGUUGGACAACCUCCCC